UCGCGUUUCGGCUGUCGAAGGGGAACGUUUGUAUGACGAACGGCAUUCGGUGUCGUCUGCGUCUUAUGUUCUUCGAAUCGAUGUCGAACGCGUGCACUUUUCCUCUAGUAGGACGUCGCGAUCCGUUGGGUGUCUGUCUAAGACUCGAGGUGGAGCCCGCGUGAUUUUUUAUUGCGUGGACCCUCGAUGUUCCGACAGACUCGCUCGACGGUAUACUAAUGGCGCGAGGCCGCUAUUUCAAUUAGCGUUCGGCCCGUAUCAAGCGCGUUCUGUGUUUGACGGUAAUCGGACCUGGUGCCGAUUCUGUCCCAGGACGACUGUUGGUUACGGUGUUCUCGAACAGACCUCG
rnacentral:rRNA from 1 species